rnacentral:lncRNA from 1 species
GGAAUAUGUGGCAGGCAUGGGGAACAUCUUGCAAUGGAAAGGACAUAUGAUAACAAGGCAUUUGAAGAUGAUAAUUUGAUGGCUGUUAUUGAGCAAAGCCCCAACACAUUGGAGACAAGAGCGCUCCCAACAGAAGCCAGCCCAUCCAUCCUGAUGAUGGAGCCACCGUCCGAUGAUUUGCAAGAGUGUGUCCAGUCCACCCAGGGCCUGCCAGUUAUUGUGGAGACUCACCCAGAGCCUAGAGAAGAGGAUCAGUUGGAGACUAUAUUUGAGGAGGGGAAGGUCACUCCCUCACCACAUUCUGACAUUCAGCUGCAGUGCAUGGAGGACUGGAGGAGCAGAGAAUUUGAACCAGGUCAGGACGCCCCCUCACCUCCUCCAGCCAAUCCACCACCUGCCCAGGAGGAAGGCCUGCGCUCUUCCCUGACUCUCCAGACCAGCGAUCCCUCCUCAACUCCUGUGCGCCACAGCAUCAAUAUUUCCCAUGGUUUCUCUCCCCUCCUGCUGUCCCAUUGUGUGUCCCUGGGCAUGACCUCUGUGGCUGUGGAUGUGCACUUCUACCCAUCAGGUCCCUCGGCAGCCAGUCGUCCUCCAUGCCCUGCCUAUGGACCUCCAGGCCAGCAGGUGAACACCAGGCUGGAGCAUGAACUGACUACACCCUCUGCUAGCCACAGUAAAUAA